GAUGAACGCUGGCGGCGUGCCUAAUACAUGCAAGUCGAGCGAACAGACGAGGAGCUUGCUCCUCUGACGUUAGCGGCGGACGGGUGAGUGACACGUGGAUAACCUACCUAUAAGACUGGGAUAACUUCGGGAAACCGGAGCUAAUACCGGAUAACAUGUUGAACCGCAUGGUUCAACAGUGAAAGACGGUCUUGCUGUCACUUAUAGAUGGAUCCGCGCCGCAUUAGCUAGUUGGUAAGGUAACGGCUUACCAAGGCAACGAUGCGUAGCCGACCUGAGAGGGUGAUCGGCCACACUGGAACUGAGACACGGUCCAGACUCCUACGGGAGGCAGCAGUAGGGAAUCUUCCGCAAUGGGCGAAAUCCUGACGGAGCAACGCCGCGUGAGUGAAGAAGGUCUUCGGAUCGUAAAACUCUGUUAUUAGGGAAGAACAAAUGUGUAAGUAACUAUGCACGUCUUGACGGUACCUAAUCAGAAAGCCACGGCUAACUACGUG
rnacentral:rRNA from 1 species